UAAAUUAAUAAGAGAUAUAGCUUGGUAAUUUGUUUUGUAUUUUAGUUCACUGAGGAUAAGCUUAGUGGAAGAUACAGGAAAAAUGUAUAUUGUAAUGGGUUAUUUAGGCCUGAAAUUAGCCAUUGUAAUAGAACUUGUUAUAAAAUAAUCCCAUAAAAAGAGAAGAUUUUUAUAUUUUCACUCUGUGUUUUUAUAGGGGUAAAAGGUUGAAUUUACUAAGCCUAAUUUAUUUAUGCUAAAAUGAGUAUUUUUAAGUUAGCAUAUAUGGAUAAAUAUUAAAAGUAUCCGCAGCGAUAUGCAAUUUUGAAGUUAAAAUGGAAGGAAGGAACUCGGCAAAUCUUAGCUUCGCCUGUUUAUCAAAAACAUGGCUCUCUGUUACUUUAAUAUAGGGAGUCGGACCUGCCCAGUGAAAUUUUUUAACGGCCGCGGUACCCUGACCGUGCAAAGGUAGCAUAAUCAUUUGCCUUAUAAUUGAAGGCUUGUAUGAAUGGUUUGACGGGAGCAUUGCUGUCUCCCUCCCAGUAGAUAGAACUUGACCUUUAGGUGAAGAGGCCUAAAUAUAAUUGAAAGACAAGAAGACCCUGUCGAGCUUUAAAAUUAGAUUAGAGGGAAAUAUAAAAUAGCCUAAAUUUAUAGCUAAUUGGUUUUUUGGUUGGGGCGACCGAGGAACAGCAAGAGCUUCCUUUAUCUAAGCUGACUUAUAGGUAUUGAUCCAGCCUAAAGCUGAUUAAAAAAAUUAGUUACCGCAGGGAUAACAGCAUAAUCUCUCUUAAGAGACCAAAUCGAAAGAGGGGGUUGUGACCUCGAUGUUGGACUAGAAUAUCCUGAAGAUGCAGAAGUCUUUAAGGGUUGGUCUGUUCGACCAUUAAAAUUCUACAUG
rnacentral:rRNA from 1 species